UACGGGGGGGGGCAAGCGUUGUUCGGAAUUACUGGGCGUAAAGGGCUCGUAGGUGGCCAACUAAGUCGGACGUGAAAUCCCUCGGCUUAACCGGGGAACUGCGUCUGAUACUGGAUGGCUUGAGAUUGGGAGAGGGAUGCGGAAUUCCAGGUGUAGCGGUGAAAAUGCGUAGAUAUCUGGAGGAACACCGGUGGCGAAGGCGGCAUCCUGGACCAACACUGACACUGAGGAGCGAAAGCCAGGGGAGCAAACGGG
rnacentral:rRNA from 1 species